rnacentral:rRNA from 1 species
CCUACGGGGGGCAGCAGUGGGGGAUAUUGCACAAUGGGGGAAACCCUGAUGCAGCGACGCCGCGUGAGUGAAGAAGUAUUUCGGUAUGUAAAGCUCUAUCAGCAGGGAAGAAAAUGACAGUACCUGACCAAGAAGCCCCGGCUAACUACGUGCCAGCAGCCGCGGUAAGACGGAGGGGGCAAGCGUUAUCCGGAUUUACGGGGUGUAAAGGGAGCGUAGACGGGUAGGUAAGUCCGGAGUGAAAGCCCGGGACCCAACCCCGGGACUGCUUUUGAAACUGUGUAACUGGAGUACAGGAGGGGCAGGCGGAAUGCCUGGUGUAGCGGUGAAAUGCGUAGAUAUCAGGAGGAACACCGGCGGCGAAGGCGGCCUGCUGGACUGAAACUGACGUUGAGGCUCGAAAGUGUGGGUAUCAAACAGGAUUAGAUACCCUAGUAGUC